ACCAUGGGUAGGCCGCUAUUGUAGGUGGGCAUUUUAGAAUGUAUUAGUCGAUAAUUUAACGAGCUGAAAAUUGUUAAACUAUCGAAAAAUUAAACCAAUAUAGAACAUUUUAAUUUUUGUUAAUUUUAGAUUCCGAGCUUAGCGAAGGAGCUAUUGGUUUUACCAAGAUGUUUAUUUUUUUUUCUUUCUUUUUUUUUCUAGACUGUGGACACGUUUUUUCCUGGUAAACUUGCUUUGAUUUUUACGUUUAACAAUUUUUCUGAAAACUCAAGUUGUCUAAAUUUUUAAACAAGUAAUUUUUUGAUUUUCGACGCCGUCUUUCAAAUAAAAACACUUAAGUGGAAAAAACAAGGAAACGUAAAAUUUCACGAUUUCAUUAUUUUAUAAAAACAUGGAUAACGUUU